AUUCAGAUAUUAUUUUAUAUUUAUUUUUUAUUUAAUUUUUAUAUCUAAAUCUUAUCUCACAUAUGAUGAUCCUAUUUAUGGUUUGAAGAUUUGAUCUUAUGUAUACUUAGAUUAAAUUAGAUUUAAUCUAAAAAUUUUUAAAUUCUACUGUGUUUUAAUUUUGUAAAAUCAUGCGUAUAUAAAAUCAUAAAACUCCAACAGUG
rnacentral:lncRNA from 1 species